rnacentral:rRNA from 1 species
UGCAAGUCGAACGAGGUCUUCGGACCUAGUGGCGCACGGGUGAGUAACAUGUGGGAAUCUACCUGAAGGUUCGGAAUAACUGCGGGAAACUGUAGCUAAUACCGGAUGUGUCUGCAAAGAGAAAGAUUUAUCGCCUUCAGAUGAGCCCGCACUAGAUUAGCUAGUUGGUGAGGUAACUGCUCCACCAAGGCUACGAUCUAUAGCUGAUUUGAGAGGAUGAUCAGCCACACUGGGACUGAGACACGGCCCAGACUCCUACGGGAGGCAGCAGUAGGGAAUAUUGGACAAUGGGGGAAACCCUGAUCCAGCAAUGCCGCGUGAGUGAAGAAGGCCUUCGGGUUGUAAAGCUCUUUCAUCAAUGAUGAUAAUGACAUUAGUUGAAGAAGAAGCCCCGGCUAACUUCGUGCCAGCAGCCGCGGUAAUACGAAGGGGGCUAGCGUUGUUCGGAAUCACUGGGCGUAAAGCGUAUGUAGGCGGAUCAAAAAGUUAGAUGUGAAAUCCCUGGGCUCAACCCAGGAACUGCAUUUAAAACUAGUGAUCUAGAAUUUGGUAGGGGUUAGUAGAAUUUCCAGUGUAGAGGUGAAAUUCGUAGAUAUUGGAAAGAAUACCAGUGGCGAAGGCGACUAACUGGGCCAUUUUUGACGCUAAGAUACGAAAGCGUGGGUAGCAAACAGGAUUAGAUACCCUGGUAGUCCACGCAGUAAACGAUGAGUGCUAGUCGCUGGGACAAUAGUUUCAGUGUCGAAGCUAACGCAUUAAGCACUCCGCCUGGGAAGUACGGUCGCAAGAUUAAAACUCAAAUAAAUUGACGGGGGCCCGCACAAGCGGUGGAGCAUGUGUUUAAUUCGAAGCACGCGAAGACCUUACCAGACCUUGACAUGGUGUGUUUGAUUACAGAAUCGUAAUUCUUCAGUUCGCUGGCACACACACAGUGCUGCAUGCCUGUCGUCAGCUCGUGUCGUGAGAUGUGGGUAAGUCCCGCAACGAGCGCACCUCAUUUUAGUGCCAUCAGGUAUGCUGGCACUCUAAAAACUGCCGGUGAUAGCUGAGAGCCA